CGGCUAUGUAACGGGGAAACAUCGGUUCUCAUACGAUCACCGAAGUUAAGCAACGUCAAACCUGGUCAGUACCGAGAUGGGCGACCACUUGAAAAUAUCAAGUGCUAUA